rnacentral:rRNA from 1 species
AUUGAACGCUGGCGGCAUGCCUUACACAUGCAAGUCGAACGGUAACAGGUCUUCGGAUGCUGACGAGUGGCGAACGGGUGAGUAAUACAUCGGAACGUGCCUAGUAGUGGGGGAUAACUACUCGAAAGAGUGGCUAAUACCGCAUGAGAUCUACGGAUGAAAGCAGGGGAUCGCAAGACCUUGUGCUACUAGAGCGGCCGAUGGCAGAUUAGGUAGUUGGUGGGAUAAAAGCUUACCAAGCCGACGAUCUGUAGCUGGUCUGAGAGGACGAUCAGCCACACUGGGACUGAGACACGGCCCAGAAUCCUACGGGAGGCAGCAGUGGGGAAUUUUGGACAAUGGGCGAAAGCCUGAUCCAGCAAUGCCGCGUGCAGGAUGAAGGCCUUCGGGUUGUAAACUGCUUUUGUACGGAACGAAAAGCCCCGGGUUAAUACCCUGGGGUCAUGACGGUACCGUAAGAAUAAGCACCGGCUAACUACGUGCCAGCAGCCGCGGUAA